rnacentral:rRNA from 1 species
AACGAACGCUGGCGGCAGGCCUAACACAUGCAAGUCGAGCGCCCUUUCGGGGGAGCGGCGGACGGGUGAGUAACGCGUGGGAAUAUGCCCUUCUCUACGGAAUAGCCUCGGGAAACUGAGAGUAAUACCGUAUACGCCCUGUGGGGGAAAGAUUUAUCGGGGAAGGAUUAGCCCGCGUUGGAUUAGGUAGUUGGUGGGGUAAUGGCCUACCAAGCCGACGAUCCAUAGCUGGUUUGAGAGGAUGAUCAGCCACACUGGGACUGAGACACGGCCCAGACUCCUACGGGAGGCAGCAGUGGGGAAUCUUAGACAAUGGGGGCAACCCUGAUCUAGCCAUGCCGCGUGAGUGAUGAAGGCCUUAGGGUUGUAAAGCUCUUUCAGCUGGGAAGAUAAUGAUGGUACCAGCAGAAGAAGCCCCGGCUAACUCCGUG